GCUGCAACUUUACCUUAGAGACGUUUUGGUCCCCAGGCAGCCGCCGUACCCCAGUCUCUCCAAACCGGGAUUCCCCUUUGGCCAUCUCUCAUUCUUUCAAUUCUAAAGAUGGAGACUGGCGAACGGCGAUGGGGUCUGCGGUGGGCGGUGUUUCGUCGCGACAGACUCUAGGAAAUUUCACGAUAGAACUAGCUUUAGGCGCUUGAGCCUUGCCGUCUUUUUGGGGUGUGGCCUGUCUCCGUCUGCCAAAGGCUUUGAGCUUCCUGGUGUUCAUCGUACCUCCGCUUGGUCCUGUCGUGACUAAACCACGACAGCAGGAAAAAAAAAAAAGCAGCUAGCCAAGUUGCUGAGGAAUUACGGUGUGCAGAGCCCUCGCAGCUCCUUCUCUUGGGAACUCCUGGUCUGGUUAGGUUCUCAGCGAGGAAACAGCCUCCCACCCCGCCCGAUUCCACCUAAUUAACUCAAGGGCCAGCUCCUUUUGCUGGCCUCCCUGCUUCCACGGAGCAGUUAGGCCCGCCUAAACUCAGCGAGCGUUUCUGGAGCACCUUGAGGAUAGGGACCAAGUAACAGAGUCCGGGUGUUAAGGUUAUGAUAGUAGUUAACGUUUUUGGAAAGAGACUGUGUCAGGCUCUGUGCUAAGAACUUUACAUGAAGUAUUUAUUCCUCAUGACUGUGAGCUCCUCUAGGACACUGAAAAAGCAUCCUAACAUGCUCAAGACAGGAUAGGAAAUGGUCCUCUGGCUUGAAAGACUCAGCAUCCAGAAGUAGUACCUCACUCUCCAUCCAGUGGUCACCCCCCAGAAAUGUGCUCUCGUAAGUUAUUUCCUCCAUUGAUACGCCUGCUCUCCUUCCCCAAGGCAUUUGUUUUAUUGGCUAAUUCCCUUUGGUAAUUGGUUUGCCG
rnacentral:lncRNA from 1 species